CAGUAGGGGUUCUGAGAGGAAGGUCCCCCACAUUGGAACUGAGACACGGUCCAAACUCCUACGGGAGGCAGCAGUGAGGAAUAUUGGUCAAUGGGCGAGAGCCUGAACCAGCCAAGUAGCGUGCAGGAAGACGGCCCUAUGGGUUGUAAACUGCUUUUAUAAGGGAAUAAAGUGAGUCUCGUGAGACUUUUUGCAUGUACCUUAUGAAUAAGGACCGGCUAAUUCCGUGCCAGCAGCCGCGGUAAUACGGAAGGUCCGGGCGUUAUCCGGAUUUAUUGGGUUUAAAGGGAGCGUAGGCCGGAGAUUAAGCGUGUUGUGAAAUGCAGACGCUCAACGUCUGCACUGCAGCGCGAACUGGUUUCCUUGAGUACGCACAAAGUGGGCGGAAUUCGUGGUGUAGCGGUGAAAUGCUUAGAUAUCACGAAGAACUCCGAUUGCGAAGGCAGCUCACUGGAGCGCAACUGACGCUGAAGCUCGAAAGUGCGGGUAUCGAACAGGAUUAGAUACCCUGGUAGUCCGCACGGUAAACGAUGGAUGCCCGCUGUUGGUCUGAACAGGUCAGCGGCCAAGCGAAAGCAUUAAGCAUCCCACCUGGGGAGUACGCCGGCAACGGUGAAACUCAAAGGAAUUGACGGGGGCCCGCACAAGCGGAGGAACAUGUGGUUUAAUUCGAUGAUACGCGAGGAACCUUACCCGGGCUUGAAUUGCAGAGGAAGGAUUUGGAGACAAUGACGCCCUUCGGGGUCUCUGUGAAGGUGCUGCAUGGUUGUCGUCAGCUCGUGCCGUGAGGUGUCGGCUUAAGUGCCAUAACGAGCGCAACCCCUCUCCUUAGUUGCCAUCAGGUUAAGCUGGGCACUCUGGGGACACUGCCACCGUAAGGUGUGAGGAAGGUGGGGAUGACGUCAAAUCAGCACGGCCCUUACGUCCGGGGCUACACACGUGUUACAAUGGCAGGUACAGAGAGACGGUUGUACGUAAGUACGAUCAAAUCCUUAAAGCCUGUCUCAGUUCGGACUGGGGUCUGCAACCCGACCCCACGAAGCUGGAUUCGCUAGUAAUCGCGCAUCAGCCAUGGCGCGGUGAAUACGUUCCCGGGCCUUGUACACACCGCCCGUCAAGCCAUGAAAGCCGGGGGCGCCUAAAGUCCGUGACCGUAAGGAGCGGCCUAGGGCGAAACUGGUAAUUGGGGCUAAGUCGUAACAAGGUA
rnacentral:rRNA from 1 species